CAGUCGCCGCGGUAACACGUAGGGCGCAAGCGUUGUCCGGAAUUAUUGGGCGUAAAGAGCUCGUAGGCGGUCUGUCGCGUCUGGUGUGAAAUCCCGAGGCUCAACCUCGGGCUUGCAUCGGGUACGGGCAGACUAGAGUGCGGUAGGGGAGACUGGAAUUCCUGGUGUAGCGGUGGAAUGCGCAGAUAUCAGGAGGAACACCGAUGGCGAAGGCAGGUCUCUGGGCCGCAACUGACGCUGAGGAGCGAAAGCAUGGGGAGCGAACAGGAUUAGAUACCCGGGUAGUCCCUGUCUCUUAUAC
rnacentral:rRNA from 1 species